AUUGAACGCUGGCGGCAGGCCUAACACAUGCAAGUCGAGCGGAUGGACGGGGCUUGCUCCUGUAUUCCGCUGCCGACGGGUGAGUAAUGCCUAGGAAUCUGCCUUGUAUUUGGGGAUAACGUCCGUUAACGGGCGCUAAUACCGCAUACGUUCUUAUGGAGAAAGUGGUGGAUCUUCGGACCUCACGCUAUUUGAUGUGCCUAGGUCGGAUUAGCUAGUUGGUUUGGUAAAGGCUUACCAAGGCGACGAUCCGUAACUGAUCUGAGAGGCUGAUCUGUCACACUGGAACUGAGACACGGUCCAGACUCCUACGGGAGGCAGCAGUAGGGAAUAUUGGGCAAUGGGCGAAAGCCUGAUGGAGCAACGCCGCGUGAGUGAAGAAGGUCUUCGGAUUGUAAAGCACUGUAAGUAGGGAGGAAGAGAAGUAAGAGAAUAUAUUGAUGUUUUGACGGUACCAAAAGAAUAAGCAACGGCUAACUUCGUG
rnacentral:rRNA from 1 species